UUUUGGCUCUACAUAUAUUCACUAAAGUUGGAGCGAUACAGAGAAGAUUAGCAUCACUUCUUUGCAAGGGGGACAUGCAAAUUUGUGAAACAUUCCAUAUUUUC